GAGUGUGCUCCAGUGUGUCUGUAUGCCCCCAAUACCCGGGCUAUCGCGCGCUACACUGGGGAGGACACUGGGUACCAACACCGAAAAGUGUCGCCUCUCUCCCUUACCCAUCCUUAUUUCCCAUUGAGGGGUGUGACUC
rnacentral:rRNA from 1 species